GCAGUAGUUUGUAGGACAUUUUUACGUUGAAAGAUUUUGUACCAUUUUGUUUAGUCUUUUGAUAUAAAAGUGAAGAUAGUGGGCUAAAGUAGCUAUCACUGUAACUUUAACAAAAAGAUUUAAUAAUUUUCUCCGCCACAUGUUGCUACAUCUUUCCCAUCUUUUUUCGUUUCAACAAAUUCAUGAAACAGCGCCCCUUGUGGUGUGAUUAAAAGACAGCAUUGCACCUUUAUCAACUGCUGUAGAGACGCAAGGUGAAGUUAAUUCAAAUAUAUUAAUUGUCAAACAAGAUGCAGUAUCCCGCGACCGUUAAACUAUAAAAGGACACGGCUUUGGAAAAGAAACUCUGGACUACUAUACUCAAAGAUGGAGGGAGGAGAUAUGGACUUCUGUCGACCAACAAGGCAAGUGACCAACACGGCAACAAGUGCAGUGGGACAUUAACUUCAUGACUUGGAAACCUCAUCUACAUGAAAUGAAGAAGAAUGAACUUCAUCUUCAAAAACCAGGAGACAGCUCUUGGCGAGGAGAGGAACGAAGUUUGAUGCUAAACUCACAACGUUUCUUCUAGACUGGUCCAGGCUCUCCCCAGUAAUAAUACAUGAAGGGCUCCUCUCCCUCAUCCAUUAAUCAGGAGGGAGGCUGAGGUAAAGGGGGGGCUGAUCUUUGGCCUUCA